rnacentral:rRNA from 1 species
GAUCCUGGCUCAGGAUGAACGCUGGCGGCGUGCCUAACACAUGCAAGUCGAACGAAGCUUGACGGAUGAUUUCUUCGGAAUGAAACCAGAUAUGACUUAGUGGCGGACGGGUGAGUAACACGUGAGCAACCUGCCGUUUCAGAGGGGGAUAACGGCUGGAAACGGUCGCUAAUACCGCAUGACGUGUUCGGAUGGCAUCAUCUGAACAUCAAAAGAUUUAUCGCUGAAAGAUGGG